AGUCGCCGCGGUAAUACGGAGGGUGCAAGCGUUAAUCGGAAUUACUGGGCGUAAAGCGCACGCAGGCGGUCUGACAAGUCAGAUGUGAAAUCCCCGGGCUUAACCUGGGAACUGCAUUUGAAACUGUCAGGCUGGAGUCUUGUAGAGGGGGGUGGAAUUCCAGGUGUAGCGGUGAAAUGCGUAGAGAUCUGGAGGAAUACCGGUGGCGAAGGCGGCCCCCUGGACAAAGACUGACGCUCAGGUGCGAAAGCGUGGGGAGCAAACAGGAUUAGAUACCCCUGUAGUCCCUGUCUCUUAUACA
rnacentral:rRNA from 1 species